rnacentral:tRNA from 1 species
GGCGGAUGUAGCCAAGUGGAUCAAGGCAGUGGAUCGUGAACCACCCAUCGCGCGAGGU